rnacentral:rRNA from 1 species
CCCCUAGAUGUUCUGGGCCGCACGCGCGCUACACUGAACAGUUCAACAAGUCUUAACCUUGGCCGAUAGGUCUGGGUAAUCUUUGAACGCUGUUCGUGAUUGGGAUAGACCUUUGCAAUUAUGGGUCUUCAACGAGGAAUUCCUAGUAAACGCAAGUCAUCAGCUUGCAUUGAUUACGUCCCUGCCCUUUGUACACACCGCCCGUCGCUUGUACCGAUUGGAUGGUCCGGUGAAAUCUUCGGAUAGCUGGUAGUUGGCUUGCCAUCUACUGCUAAAAGUUGCUUAAACCUUAUCAUCUAGAGGAACAAGAAGUCGUAACA